rnacentral:rRNA from 1 species
GAUUGAAUGGGCUUAGUGAGGUCUUCGGAUUGGCUUUGGGGAGCCGGCGACGGCACCCUAUCGCUGAGAAGUCGAUCAAACUUGGUCAUUUAGAGGAAGUAAAAGUCGUAACAAGGUUUCCGUAGGUGAACCUGCGGAAGGAUCAUUAUNGAAAUUAUAGGUGAGGGUUGUAGCUGGCCUCUCGGGGCAUGUGCACGCCCGAGCCCUUAAUCCACACACACCUGUGAACCUAUUGUAAGGGCCCUUAAAAAAGGCCUUUACGUCUUAUCAUCAACCCAUCGUAUGUCUCAUAGAAUGUAAAUAUAUGUCCUCGCCUUAAAAAGCGUUGAUAAACUUAUACAACUUUCAACAACGGAUCUCUUGGCUCUCGCAUCGAUGAAGAACGCAGCGAAAUGCGAUAAGUAAUGUGAAUUGCAGAUUUUCAGUGAAUCAUCGAAUCUUUGAACGCACCUUGCGCUCCUUGGUAUUCCGAGGAGCAUGCCUGUUUGAGUGUCAUUAAAUUCUCAACUCUGAUCGAUUUGUUUCGACUUCGGAGCUUGGAUUUGGAGCGUGCUGGCGUCGGUCGGCUCCUCUUAAAUGCAUCAGCGGAAUCUAACGUUUCGGACGUCAGUGUGAUAAUCAUGUUGCGCUGUCUGUCUGAUCCGAAAGCCCGCUCACAAUGGUCUUCGGACAACUUCAUAUCAAAUUUGACCUCAAAUCAGGUAGGACUACCCGCUGAACUUAAGCAUAUCAAUAAGCGGAGGAAAAGAAACUAACAAGGAUUCCCCUAGUAACUGCGAGUGAAGCGGGAAAAGCUCAAAUUUAAAAUCUGGCGGUCUUGCGGCCGUCCGAGUUGUAAUCUGGAGAAGCGUUUAUCCGCGUCGGACCGUGUACAAGUCUUCUGGAANGGAGCGUCGUAGAGGGUGAGAAUCCCGUCUUUGACACGGACAACCGGUG